AUUGAACGCUGGCGGCAGGCCUAACACAUGCAAGUCGAACGAGGGGCGGACGGGUGAGUAAUGUCUGGGAAACUGCUCGAUGGAGGGGGAUAACUACUGGAAACGGUAGCUACUACCGCAUACCAUCGGAUGUACCCAGAUGGGAUUAGCUGGUAGGUGAGGUAACGGCUCACCUAGGCGACGAUCCCUAGCUGGUCUGAGAGGAGGACCAGCAACACUGGAACUGAGACACGGUCCAGACUCCUACGGGAGGCAGCAGUGGGGAAUAUGGCACAAUGGGCGCAAUCCUGAUGCAGCCAUGCCGCGUGUAUGAAGAAGGCCUUCGGGUUGUAAAGUACUUUCAGCGGGGAGGCGUUACCCGAAGAAGAAGCACCGGCUAACUCCGUGCCAGCCGCCGCGGUAAUUC
rnacentral:rRNA from 1 species